CCUACGGGAGGCAGCAGUGGGGAAUAUUGCACAAUGGGGGAAACCCUGAUCCAGCGACGCCGCGUGAGUGAAGAAGUAUCUCGGUAUGUAAAGCUCUAUCAGCAGGGAAGAAAAUGACGGUACCUGAUUAAGAAGCCCCGUCUAACUACGUGCCAGCAGCCGCGGUAAUACGUAGGGGGCAAGCGUUAUCCGGAUUUACUGGGUGUAAAGGGAGCGUAGACGGCAGCACAAGUCUGGAGUGAAAUGCCCGGGCUUAACCCCGGAAGUGCUGUGGAAACUGGGCAGCUAGAGUGCAGGAGAAGUAAGUGGAAUGCGUGGUGUAGCGGUGAAAUGCGUAGAUAUUGGGAAGAACACCAGUGGCGAAGGUAGCUUACUGGACUGUAACUGACGUUGAGGCUCGAAAGCGUGGGGAGCAAACAGGAUUAGAUACCCCUGUAGUC
rnacentral:rRNA from 1 species